UUGGAGGAGGACGGCGAUGAUGAUCCGGAUAAGAAGAUAUACGCGAUCUACUUGAGCCACGUGGCAGAAACCCCCAAAAACAAAAUAGUGUGUCUAAUGUGCUUUCUUGAAGAUGGCGAGCCAAAGCCAAUAUUAAAAUCACAGGUCGAAAAACAUUGCAAUAAUCGUCAUAAGACCUUAGGUAUCAAGUGUCAGAAAGCUGGUUGUAUGGUUAGAGCUAGGUUCAAGGGAGAUAUUGGCAGACAUCACAAGUAUUGUCAUGAUCUUAAGGCCGGCUGGUGGAAGAAGGCCCCAAGACCUGAUAGAGCUUAGCGCGAUGCAGUCCAAGAAAAAGGUGGAGCCAUGUUUGAAAGACAUGAGGAAUUUUCUUUAGUCGGUUAUUGUCCUGAAUGUGUAUAUAAACAACAUUGUGAUGUUUUGUAAAUUGCUACG